rnacentral:rRNA from 1 species
UACAGAGGGUGCGAGCGUUAAUCGGAAUUACUGGGCGUAAAGCGUGCGUAGGUGGUUUAAUAAGUCAGAUGUGAAAGCCCCGGGCUCAACCUGGGAACUGCAUUUGAAACUGUUAGGCUAGAGUACGGUAGAGGGAAGUGGAAUUUCCGGUGUAGCGGUGAAAUGCGUAGAUAUCGGAAGGAACAUCAGUGGCGAAGGCGACUUCCUGGACCGACACUGACACUGAGGCACGAAAGCGUGGGGAGCAAAC